CCCUCAUCUCCCCCCCCAACCCCCGGCUGUUGUCAUGGAGACCAGAACAAAGCCUCUCUUUCCCCUCUUUUCUGGAUUGUUAAUUGUCUUUACUCCAUGGUGCCUUUGUUAAUUGUUGCCAGUCCCUCCCAGGAUGGGGAUCUAGGUCUCCUCAAGGCAGGAAACAGGGUUUAAAAAAAAGUUUGGGGGUGGGUGUGGGGCACUGUAAGCCAGGUGGUAGGUGGGGAGGAGAAGAGGACUGAGGAGGCAGCCUAAGGAUUUUCUAAAUGGCCCAGGCUUCUGGGAGGGAAGCACCUUCUGCAUCUCUUUUCCUCCCUCCCUCACCUGCCUUUGCUGGUGUGGCCCAGUGGCCCCUCUCUGUGGGAAGAGACAGAAGAAAAUGAAAAAAACCACCAUUGUGUGUAUUCGCAUGCGUGUGGGCGUCCUCUUGGGGGGAAGUGGCCCUGUCUUCGCACUGCCCCCAUUCCAAGUAGAUCAGGAAAACAUGCGGCCUGAUUGUUGGCCCUACACUUAGGACUCCAGAUAAUUACAUUCACAGAGAGUGUGCACUAGCCCUGGAGAUUCCAAGGACCAGAAAACCCCACAAGCAGCAAGGCAGCAUGGUAUUCUGGAAAUUAAAUGGAGACUAGAGCAGACAAGGUCUCCCCUCACAGAGCCUACAGUCUAAAGGGAAGCAGGAAAAAUACAAGAGGCCAGGCACGGUGGCUCACACCUGUAAUCCCAGCACUUUGAGAGGCUGAGGUGGGUGAAUCAUUUGAGGCCAGGAGUUUAAGACCAGCCCAGCCAACAUGGUGAAACUCCAUCUUUACUAAAAGUACAAAAAAUUAGCCAGGUGGUAGUGGUGUGCGCCUGUAAUUCCAGCUACUUGGGAGGCUAAGGCAGGAGAAUUGCUUGAGCCCAGGAGGCGGAGGUUGUGGUAAAUAGAGAUCGCACCACUGCAUUCCAGCCAGAGUGACAGAGCGAGACUCUGUCUCCAAAAAAAGAAAAAAAAUACAAGAAAACAGAAAACAGAUAAAACAAGUGCAAUUGUGGUAAGUGCUAUGAAGGAGGCAAACAGGGCUGAGAAACAGAAUAAAGGUGGGAUGGGGUAGAGGAUGAUUUUAUAUGGGAGGAAAGGGGAAGAUGAGAGAAGAGACAUUUUUGUUGAGACAAGAGGAUGAAAAGGUGCCCACUCUAGGAAGAGGAGGGUUUGGGGAAGAACUUAACAGGUGUAAAGAUUUUUAUAGGGUUUGAAGUCUAGUUCAAGGCAGAUCUUUCAAUAUGGGGAUCUGAUUGGGAUUGGGCAAAAUUUAUAACAGUUUAGGAUUGGAGGACAUGGUGAAGGGAGGGUCUUGAAGAAUAAACAAUUGUUUGAUAAGCUACUGGUUUGCCCAGUUAAGCAAACUAUUGUCCCGAGAAGGGGGCUGUUUGAGCAGUCUAUUGUUCAGAUAAAUUGAUUUUCAGGAAGUUCCUGAAGGAAAUAAUGAAGUUAUUUACUGGUUUACAGUCUUAUCUUCCUGGGGAAGAAAUUUCUGGAACAAAUAUUAAAGUCAUGCAGAUGUAGGCAGCCUCAGUGAAAUGAUGUCACCGCAGGUGAGGCCGUUGUAGUCUGGCUGAGUGGUAGGUAAUUGUGGCCUGGAUUAGGGUGGGGUGGUAAAGACAGGAAUGGACGGAUUGGGAUAUAUUUUUGGAGAUAGGCCAGUGACUCACUAAAUUGAUUAGAUGAGCAAGAAACAAUCACAGAUGAUGGCUAGGUUUUUGACUUGAGCCAUUAGGUAGGUGGUAGUACCAUUUACUGGAUGGGAAAGAAGAUGGUACUGGGUUGGGGAUGAUGGUUAAAGGUUCAAUGUUAGGGUUAGGAUGUGGAAGCCAUCCUCACAGGGUUAGCAAGUAUUACAUGCUAGGUUCUGGGCGGAAAUACUGUUAUAAUUUAACCUUAAUAGGCAAGUGCGGUGGCUCACACCUGUAAUCCCAGCACUUUGGGAGGCCGAGGCGAGAGGAUCACUUGAGCCCAGGAGUUUGAGAUUAGCCUGGGCAACAUAGCAAGAUCUUGUCUCUACACAAAAUGAAAAACAAUUAGCCAGGCAGGGUGGCUCAUGCCUGUGUAUGUAGUCCCAGCUACUUGGGAGGCUGAGGUGGAAGGAUCACUUGAGCCCAGGAGGUUGAGGCUGCAGUGAGCCGUGACUUCACCACUGCACUCCAGCCUGGGUGACAGCAAGACCGUGUCUCAAAAAAGAAAGAAAGAAAGAAAAAGCAUUAAUUAGAUUGCACUUUGGCGCACUUCCUUGUUGCUAAAAGUUCCAUAGAACCAGAUACUGACCAUUUGCAUCCCCAUUUUUCCUAUAGAUAGGAUUUCUGAGGUUAGAAUCAUAAGGCUUUUGUUGAAGAAUCGAUUUGCAUCCCCAUUGUUCCUAUAGAUAGGAUCACUGACGUUGGAAUCAUAAGGCUUUUGUUUAAGAUUUGCUUAAGAUGUUUUUAGCUCUUGAGUUCCAGCAGAAUGGCUGAUGCCACCAGUUUGAAGACCCUCACAGAGGAGCGUAAUCAGCAUGAGAAUGCAGUUUCUUCAUCUCCCUGUCCCGUGACUCUACGUACUCUUCGACUCAUCCACAGUGAUCCCCACACCUCGGCCCACUCCAAACCCCUUAAGAUCCCUAGCCCCCAACUCUUUGGAGAAGCAGAUUUGAGGUUUUCUCUCCUCUCCUUGUUCGG